AAAAAUGACGGUACCUGAGGAAUAAGCAUCGGCUAACUCCGUGCCAGCAGCCGCGGUAAUACGGAGGAUGCAAGCGUUAUCCGGAAUGAUUGGGCGUAAAGGGUCCGCAGGUGGCUAUGUAAGUCUGCUGUUAAAGAACCUAGCUUAACUAGGUAAAAGCAGUGGAAACUACAAGGCUAGAGUGCGUUCGGGGUAGAGGGAAUUCCUGGUGUAGCGGUGAAAUGCGUAGAUAUCAGGAAGAACACCAGUGGCGAAGGCGCUCUACUAGGCCGCAACUGACACUGAGGGACGAAAGCUAGGGGAGCGAAUGGGAUUAGAUACCCCAGUAGUCCUAGCCGUAAACGAUGGAUACUAGGCGUGGCUUGUAUCGACCCAAGCCGUGCCGGAGCUAACGCGUUAAGUAUCCCGCCUGGGGAGUACGCACGCAAGUGUGAAACUCAAAGGAAUUGACGGGGGCCCGCACAAGCGGUGGAGUAUGUGGUUUAAUUCGAUGCAACGCGAAGAACCUUACCAAGACUUGACAUGUCGCGGAUCUUCUUGAAAGGGAAGAGUGCCUUCGGGAGCGCGAACACAGGUGGUGCAUGGCUGUCGUCAGCUCGUGUCGUGAGAUGUUGGGUUAAGUCCCGCAACGAGCGCAACCCUCGUUUUUAGUUGCCAGCAUUAAGUUGGGCACUCUAGAGAGACUGCCGGUGACAAACCGGAGGAAGGUGGGGAUGACGUCAAGUCAGCAUGCCCCUUACGUCUUGGGCUACACACGUACUACAAUGCUACGGACAAAGGGUAGCUACACAGCAAUGUGAUGCCAAUCUCAGAAACCGUAGCUCAGUUCAGAUCGCAGGCUGCAACUCGCCUGCGUGAAGUCGGAAUCGCUAGUAAUUGCAGGUCAGCAUACUGCAGUGAAUUCGUUCCCGGGCCUUGUACACACCGCCCGUCACACCAUGGAAGCUGGUCACGCCCGAAGUCGUUACCCCAACUGU
rnacentral:rRNA from 1 species